UACGGGGGGGGGCAAGCGUUGUUCGGAAUUACUGGGCGUAAAGGGCUCGUAGGCGGCCAACUAAGUCAGACGUGAAAUCCCUCGGCUUAACCGGGGGAACUGCGUCUGAUACUGGAUGGCUUGAGUUCGGGAGAGGGAUGCGGAAUUCCAGGUGUAGCGGUGAAAUGCGUAGAUAUCUGGAGGAACACCGGUGGCGAAGGCGCAUCCUGGACCGACACUGACGCUGAGGAGCGAAAGCCAGGGGGAGCAAAACGGG
rnacentral:rRNA from 1 species